UUCUGAAUUAAUUUAAGAAGAAUUAGGCUAGUUCUGACUUUAUUUAAUCCCUGUCUGGGAACCCGCCCCUUAGAGUUAAGUCUGACACGCAAUGACUUUGAGUUCAAUGCCAAAUAUUACCUCCAGGAGGAUUUUUUGAUGUUUAUUGAGGUUUUAAAUUCCCACCAUGAGGCAAUAAAAACCACACACACUAUACAGAAUGACAUAGUGGAGUUUUUAGACACACAGACCUUUUUUUAAACCUUUAGGAAAUGGAAAAAAGGGCCUGGCAACUAAGGUGUUUUUUAAAGAAACAGAUAGACACGCACUGUUGCAUAAGGACAGCGAUCACCCCAAGCAGAAUCUGCAGCUUUCCCGAGGACAUGGAGGAGGCAACACAGAAGGUAAACUUGGUGGGACAGUGACUCCCUCUCCUUGACACCCCUCCCCUGGGGGAAUCAUAUACAUGAAGAAAACGGUUGUUUAAUGGUUGAAGACAUCAGGAAAUAGAAAACAGCAAACAAGACCUGUUAUUUAUGAUUGUAUUUAUUUGUUUGUUUGUUUGUUUGUUUGUUUGUUUGUUUAUUUAUUUAUUUGACUUUUCACUUUUUUUGCAGUGAUGGAUUGUGGUUUAAAUUGAAUUAUGUACACUUUUGAUUGUGUGAUUUAUAUAGCACUAGGACUUGGCACUUAAGGGUUGGAAACAGGUUGCACUUAAAUACAACCGUAGCAAUUCUGAUAAUAGGUCAUUUCAUAACAUCUUUCUUCUGUUUACAUAAUUGGUUCGGUUUAAUUUAAAUUUUUUGAAAACACAAUUGAUGUCUGGUUGUCCUCGUGGGAGUUGGGAAGUGGGGGGUGGGUUGGAGCUGGGGGAGCUUUUGCUUCCGGUCGUAGACCCAAUCCAUAACCUUGACCAAACCCUGACCCAAUUCCUAACCUAGCCCCCCACCCGUAUCCUGAUCCCUAACCAUAACCUAGUCCCCCACUUCUAUCCUGACCCCUAACCAUAACCCAGUCCCCCUCCUGGUCCGAGCCCUGGCAGAUAUUGUUUUUAAGGCCUCUGAUUGACCGUUUUCCUCCUGUUUUAUGGCAAUGUCUGUUGUUAAAAUUGCUUCACAAAUAAAACAUUAUUGUAAAUUAUUA